rnacentral:rRNA from 1 species
UACGAAGGGGGCUAACGUUGCUCGGAUUGACUGGGCGUAAAGGGCGCGUAGGCGGUUCGUACAGUCAGACGUGAAAUUCCUGGGCUCAACCUGGGGGCUGCGUUUGAUACGUGCGGACUUGAGUGCGGAAGAGGGUCGUGGAAUUCCCAGUGUAGAGGUGAAAUUCGUAGAUAUUGGGAAGAACACCGGUGGCGAAGGCGGCGACCUGGUCCGAUUCUGACGCUGAGGCGCGAAAGCGUGGGGAGCAAACAGG